UUGCUGACCUCCAGAGGUCCUUCCAAUCCCACUAUUUCUGUGAUUCUGUUUCUGUGAACUAUUUACUCAUAUUUUCCAGCAGAUUAUAUAGCCUGACUUCUUUAAAGAGAAUGAGCAUCUUUUUAAGGAGAGGAAGAUCAGUGGGCAGACGAAAGAGAAAGACAAGUCCCAUAUGAUGCCGACAGUGCUGAAUUGCAGCAAAGGUGCCUGUGUUUCUGUCUCUACUGAAGUACCAUACUAUGGAGUCCUACAGCAGUAUAGGGCCACAGAGGAUACAUGGCUUUGUAAGAGCUGGCCUGUAAAAGAGGAAUGCUCCUGCAUUCUCACAGCCAACUUCUCUGGAGGAAAAAAAAAAAAAAGCAUGAGAAGAGUAUGUGCAACCACCAUAGUAGGGAGCUACUAAUAAAGUAAGAAUCAGAACUUCAGCCAUGAACUUGUGAGUUUCAGCAUGUCCACUUAUGUGCUCUUUAUAUAGACUACAUCUGUUCACAAGGUCAGGAUCUCUAUUAAGAGAAUGAUGAAUUUAAACUAAAAAAGAACUUUAAUAUAUUUCCAUCUCAGACUGGUUUUUAGGUCAGCAAAACUACUACUUUGCUUCUUCUGUCUUACGUUGUUGUAUAAUUUUAGCAUCUCAGAAAUGCUGUAGAAUGAUGACAGUGAAACCUGAAUUGGAAAAAUUAGGACUUGUUGCAGGAUCUGUAGAUGAAGAUGCUAGUAGCUCCCCAGCAUAGUUAUUGACUCUACACUGAACCUGCAAAAAAAUUACAUGCUAUAAUUCUUUAUCAUUUUUUUUUAACCUGUUAAGGACUUGAAAUGAGUUGAGACAGAAGAUUUAGGCUGCUUAAGUUAUUCAUGUAUAACUUCAUAAGUCACAAUACAUAAAUCUUGUGGGCUUUUUUUCCUAUACAGGUGCAUGUGUGUGUUUCUAACAGAAUUGUGGGCUGGAGUUACUGUAAAAAUAUUUGUGUACUCACAUAUAAUUAGAGAACAGUUAGUUUGUUCAAUAGUUUGAAAUUCUUCGAGUCAUUUCUAAGGUGCUCUUGUCUGAAAUUACCAUUGGAAAUAGGAUGCCUGUACAUUUUCCAGAAUAGAGAUCCAGCUGUUGGGCAGUAAGUGCUUUAUGAAUUGUGAGGAAAAUAAAAAUAAUUAUAUAGAAAUCAUUAGAGGGAUUUACAGCAUUUAUUUUUUCCUCACAAAUUUAAUUCAUCUCAGCAAGCUUUUGCACAAAAGCUUCUGAAGUUUACAUAUUGGCAGUGUCCUUGAGAGCUACUGAGAAGUCACCCACUCAUGGAAAAGGAUCUGCAUCUUGGUAAUGUAUUCACGUUCUCAGCAGAACAUGGCAAUUAACAACUAAUCUCAGCAUCUACUUUAAUGAUAUUCUGAAAGAAGAAACAAAAUCCUUACCCCAAAA